GAAAGGUAAGCAUGCUGUUUCAUUACAGAGAUCCAUCACUUCCUGAAGUCACGGGAAGGCUCAUGCUUCCUCAAGAGGAUCCAGUGCUCCUUGGACCACAAUCCAUCACCAGGCUAUGUAGAGCCCUUCCUACCUCCUAGUUACAGAUAUGAUCUCAAAAAGAAAACAUAGUGUAAGAGACCUCCCUUCUGUUAUCUGACCAUCUGGGAUCCUUUUAUAAGAAAAACAUCAUUCCAGUAUUGGAAAGAAUAUUUCAGUUUGCCAUAUUUAAUCGGAACAUAUUGAAGCAAGAUGCAAAGCAGUAUCGGAUGAAAGCUAAACUCCUCCGUUAGAUGUUAAAGUCCAUCUGACCAGUUGUCAGCCGCUCUGCUUGCUGGUGGCACAUCCAUCACUCGGAGCGUGUUCCCUCCUCACCUGACAAAGCCGCUUAUCCAACUGUUCCCGGAGUGGGAAUCUGCAGAAGGCACUUAAAGAAGAGACAGAGGAGGCUGUUCCCCGGAAAGCAGCGCACUCUGAGAUGAACACGAGGUUUUUGGCCGGUGCCUCACCACAUUCUGCUGAGUCAAGUCAGCAUUAAGUGAAUACAAAUUCUCCCUUGGGAGUCCUAAUUACAGCUGAGGAUCUGAGGAAGUUAUGGAAGGAAACAGGAGGGCUGGAGUGCUUUCAUAGCUUCUUCUUUUGAAUAUUCAGGAAAAAUACAAGGAGACACCCAUGACCCACGGCACCCCAGAACUGCAAUUGCAGGCCAUACCCAGCUUCACCCCUGUUGAUUUCAUCCGUAGGACUCCUGUUGGAGAAGGAUUUUGGGGGUGACCGAUUAAUCGGUAGCAAGUCCCUACAGAGCUGUCUGUAAUGGGCACAACUAUAAGAUUUGCCAGCAUCAGUGCUGUCUGUAUCUUUUGUACACACAGCUGGUGGUGCUUAAAUUGCUCCUUGCUUAAAUUGAUGUUCGUGGCAUCUGAUUUUUUUUUUUUUAGUGUAUUUAGUAUUUUGUAACAAUUUAUAUCACUAUGUGAGUGCUUCAAUGCAACUUAUUGAGAGCAAUCAGCCUGUAGUUGCCCUUCAUUCAUCUAAGGGCAAUAAAAAGUAAAAAGCAGCUAUGGUACUUUCUUGGAGUGACACAGCUGAAAUAAAUCCAUCACCCAAAACUUAA